AAUCAUGUGCGCGGGCCACGGGGGUCUGGACCAACCCCCCCCAGCGGGGGUGCUCCUGCGCCGGUGUCCUGGGUGCCCCCCCCCCCCGCCAGCCACCAGCCGGGAAGGGGAGAAAGGCAGCUCGCUGGGAGUGGGGCUGCUGUAACCUGGGGGGGGGGGGGCAGAAACGUCCCGUUCUGCGCUUUGAGGAAGGGGGGAUUCAUAGGGCGGGUUAAGGAUUGGCGGUAGCAGGACUGUCCUUUAUUGCUAACCCUUAGUCCGUGCCCGGUAUGCACGGCUCCGCUGCAGGUUCAGGACUGACCAAGUAAAGCAAGUUUGCAUUUUUCACCUCCGGACAGGACACACUGGGGAUCACCUUGAACAUCAUUUCCAUCUCCUUUGGCCUGCUGGUUAAAGAAAAGUCACAGGUGGAGUGACACCAGAUUACAUUUCUUCGUGGGAUAGUUUCGGGAACAACUGUCACACCAUGGAGGAUGCCUUGUUUCCCUCACUCCCAUUUUUGGUUCAUCUGUACAUCUUUGUCUUGCAUGCCGAGAAUAAGUGGUGAUUGGAGUCACAGAUGCAGGUACUUGUAUUAUGUAUCUGUUUUCAAAUUGUUCAUCUUCUGCAUCAUCAUCAGCUGUCAGAUUUUAUUACUCCAUCACCUGUAGAUGAACGGACUUUGCUACUAGUCAGAAAAUGGUCAGAGGAGGAGACUGCCUUAUAAUUUUUAACCCAGUCUUCUUAGCGUAUGCGCAACUGGCCACAGGUGGCACGUGACCAGGAUUCAUCACCAAAUUUGGUCCACUGUUUGGAUCAUUAGCUUCCCUGGCUUGGGACAGGGAGCGUGAUGUUAAAUUCCCUCCUUUGCCUGAUGUAAAGACAAAAGCUUAUGCUCAAAUAAAUUGGUUAGUCUCUAAGGUGCCACAAGUACUCCUUUUCUUUUUGAUUUUAACUUGAUUAUCCUACUGGGCUAAAGAGUGGCCCAGUCAUUGCACCAUGGGGUAAUCCCAGGUAGAUGACUUUCAAUCUCUCCUAUUAAAGCUGUUCCACUUUGUAUAAAUAAAUAUUCAUUGGACUAAGGAUUUGAACAUAGAUCUUCCACACUCCAGGCAAAUGCCUAACCCACUAUGCUGUAGAAUUGCUCUUAGUUCCUUGGUGCAAUGUCUAUUCAUUGUCAUUAUGAAUGACUCUGAAUUGCCACUGUGAUUUAUAAACUGCCCAUGUAACUACCUGCUAACUACCUCAUCCUCUGGCUGUUUUGUGAAUCUAGCUCUAUAAAAAUGAUAAAAAAUUCCAUUUUGGGUCAAACAUUUUGAUGAAAUCUUUUCACAGCUUUCGGAUUUAUUUCAUAUUGAAUCAAAAAUAUUUUUCAAUUUUUCUGAACUGCCAUGAGUCAAUGAGCUAUGUGCUUCCAGCCAGCCUCUUUCUCUCUCUCUGAACCAAGAAGGGAAGGUUGGGCAUUUUAGUCCCUAGGACAGUUAGGACUACAGUCCAGGGCACUGGCAAGGCCUUUUGGGAAAGGGGUUGGGUUUUUCAGAACAGGAAGAGAUGCAGAGGAAGUCAGAGGGGCAAAGGAGCCUCUUCCAGAAAAAGGGAUAAGUAACUCAUUCUUGUUUGUUUGUUUUUCAUUUUGUAUAUACUGAGCUUUUAUUUGAAAAGUCUUUGAGGCUGACCUAUCUGGGGAGAGGCUGGGCUACCUUCACAAAGACUGAGGGCAAGAGAGCCCUGAUAGGGGAAGUGUCUUGUUUGUUUUGGAAAAGAACUCCACAGGUAUGGACCUUUGUUUGGUUUGGUCUGGUCUGCCACAACAGGUACAGUCAGCACAAUUUAGCUUGAACCCUUGUUAAGUAGAAGGAAACAUGGAGGAGGUUCUAAAAUCCCUGGUUCAACAGGAGCAACCAAGAAGAGCAGCAGUGAGACAGUUGGCUAAGCAAGAACAAUAGCAACAAUUUAUGAGAGCAGCCAAGAGGCCCUUGAACAGCUCCUAGAGCAGCUCAGACAACAGCUUGCUAUUUCUGGGCUACUCACAGAUCUAAAUCUGCUGGCCAGUUUGGAAGUUAGAGCCAAUCUGACUAUAUAAUAUUGAGGUAUAUUUGGCUCCCUCUGAGAGGAUUGCCAUAGUAGCCUAUGGGGAUUUGCUUUGUUCCUGAAACAAAUAGCUCAGAUGGCUUGUCUGGGUGUGAACUAAGAUUUGGCCCAGAAUUUUGACCUCUGGGGAGAAAUAAGGCAUCCUAGACUGGAAUAGGGAUCUUUGAGGAGACUUUGCCUAUGAGAACAAGCACCUUAAUAGAGGCUAUACAGCCAUCCAAGUAACUGACGAAAUUGUCGUAUUCUGUUCCAUAGUCCUGGAGGAAUAGGAAAGGUGGGUCUGAACAUUUAGUCUGGCUGCUGGUGCAGAAACAUAUUAAAGGUCUCCUGGAGAUGAUAAUUGAGGAGGAGAACUUGAACGUGCCUCUUAUGAAGAGCUUCCCUGUGCGUGGCUAGUAGGGGGGAUGCUCUGUCAGGACUUUAUAUCUAUACCUCUUUGAGGUAGACUAACAAAGUACCAUCCUGCAACUUGAGGAACUUUGAGGUAGACUAACAAAGUACCAUCCUGCAACUUGGACACAAAGAACAGGAUAUUUAUUCAGGUUAUACAUUCAUUAGAGGCCCUAUGGUGGGUGCAAUGGACAGGACUUCUGGGGUUACAUGGUGUCUCCACAUUGCUGCAAAAUAAUGUCUAGCCUGGUAGACUUGGGUUGUCCCCAAAUCAUAGAGUCUAUCUGAUAUUGCUGGACUUUCUACAAAUCACAGAUCCCAUCCUCAUCUCCAUGGGUGGAGACAGCCAUAAACCUGAUGUGAGUGGGAGAUCAAGGGAGGAUUCUGGGUGGGAUCUCCAAAAUUGUUCUCUGGUCUGUGGUUAUAAGGAGGGAUUGGAAGCAUAGCCACAUUCUAGCGGGGCUGGUAAUUAUGCCUUGUCCUGAUCCUAUCUUAAAAGAAAGGACAUUGCCUGAGGGAAUUCUGUGUAGUGUUUCGCUGUUGUAAAUUCAGAUUGUGAAGAUCCACCCCAUCUACAAAAAUCCAGGAAUUAAAGCACAAGGUUUUGUGGGUGGGGUUGUUUGUGAGUUUGAUUGGGGAAGAUGGAGUGAGGCUUUGUCCAACUGGAUUGAUUGGGAAAUGAGGCUUCUGACUUAGGUGUCAGAACUACAAAAGAUUCUUCUUGUAACAUCUUAACAAAUUCCUUUGAUGUAGUAGCUGAGCAGUGGCAGGUAGUUGGUGCAUCAUCUGAUAUCGUGAGUAAAGUAACAGAAUACACUAAAAGGUUAAUACCAUAUAUAUCUCCUGUAGGUCUAAAAUAAAUCACGUCAAUGACAGUUGGUUUUCAAGUAAGAGGUAGUCUGGAAUCCAGGUAUAGCAUGUUAAAUUAUGCAGAUAUGUUCUAGCUAGCAAGAAUACUAAACAUACUUUUCAUCUGAUCAUCAAUGUUAUAUUAUAAUACAAGAAAGGGAUACAGCAAGUAGAAAUAUAAUUUUGAAGUAUGUUGCAUCAGAACUAGUGCUUUUAGAGUUAAUCUGUAGGUAAGAAAAGAGAUUCAAACAGAUAUUGCUGUCUGCACUGUCUUAGGCAGUGAUGCCAUCAUUAUCUGUUAAAAGAAAUACAGAACAUGAAUUUAGAACUUGGAUGAUAAGUGAAGUAGAUGGUGACUUUCAGAUAUAUUGUUUUAGAAUGUUAAAGGUGUCUGUAAUUUCUAAACUUAAAUACUCUGGUUAAAUUUCAUCAAUUACAGUCAUGUGGCGUUACACUGGGGAUGAAUUUGACCCAUUAUGUUACCGAGUUUCUUUGUUUAUAAGCCUUAAAGUUCAUAUUUGAUUCUAUGACAACAGGAAGUCUGAGAUCAAGCACUAACUGAAUUUGGGGAGGCUCUUCAGCCAGUAUAGACUGCUGUAAGCUUAUGCAGCUUGUCACAUAAAUGAGGUUUCCAAUAACUUGCCACAAUUAAUGUUUGCCAGAGGAUUCUGUGGUUAUAACAGACAAUGACUUCAGCAGAACAUCAUUCAUUACUGAGGCUGGUUUGAUUGCUGCACUGAGGAUCUUGCUCUCUGGAAACCCCACCAUUUUACUCUGCUACCUCUGCCUAGCAGGAUAAAGUAUUCUCAAGCUUUCAGUCCAGUUGAUUCUUGUCAAAGAUUACUGACCCAGUUGGCUGCCCAUUUCAACUCAAAACACAGUGAACUUCUAAGGCACUUUGAGAUUUGACUCUUCGAGACAGACAAUAGCAAUAACUGCCUGGUGACUUUAUGUUGCAGUUCACCGUCACUCUUCGUGACCAAGCAGCUGCGUCCGACGUCUGCUCCUUGACAGAUGGACUUUUUAGAAACGAAAUAAUCCAAUGAACUGCAAGGGAAAGCCUCAGGGAAUGUUGCUCUUUCUGCCAGAUGACUUGAUAUCUGCCAAGCAGUAACCAUCACUGACUAUGGGAAGAGCCAUGAUCCAGGAAGAACAAGAAGCUGGAGCUGCCACUAUUGAAAUAGCGGUGACAGAGAUUCAGAAAUUCUGGACUGUGGGCUCAGUUUCAGGCGUAUGAGUUCACUGUAGAACUAUGGCCUAAGAACACAUGAUACUAGUGCUGCCGUGCCUGGUGAGCAGAAAAUGGUGCUACCUCUGAUGUUCCAAUCGCCUACGUGACUGUCGCAAGUCCAUGCCAAAUGUGUUAUAUUUUUACAUAUCAGAAUCCAUUCCUGGGGCCUUUACUAUUAAUCAUGUGUAUGUGCUUCCAUAAAUGUACAUGGUACUGUAGUAUGCUGCUGUGAUGCUAUCUUGGGGUGCCCAGGACUGUGAGACAGCUGGUUACACCCCUGCCAGUGCAAGAGAGACUUGUUUGUCCUUAACUGAAUGUCCGCUCCCUGACACCAUGUGGUGUUUAGAUGCUGCUUGUAAUUAUUAGAACUGGGAGCACUGGCUGUUGGGAGUCUGAAAGGACAGGAAACAGGAAGGAGGGGGGAGGAGUUGAGGAGGCUGAGUGAGAGCUAUCGAGGGUGCAGCAGCAGCUUGGUAAAAAGGUUUCCACUUUAACAAUAAAGUUCUGUUGAAGUUUGUUA